rnacentral:tRNA from 1 species
GGGGGCGUAGUAUAGCUUGGUUAGUAUGGCACCUUGGGGCUUGGUGUCGACGCCAGUUCAAAUCUGGCCGCUCCCA